rnacentral:rRNA from 1 species
AGCGAACGCUGGCGGCAGGCCUAACACAUGCAAGUCGAGCGCCCCGCAAGGGGAGCGGCAGACGGGAGAGUAACACGUGGGAACGUGCCCAUUGGUUCGGAACAACCAGGGAAACUUGGGCUAAUACCGGAUAAGCCCUCACGGGGAAAGAUUUAUCGCCGAAGGAUCGGCCCGCGUCUGAUUAGCUAGUUGGUGGGGUAAUGGCCCACCAAGGCGACGAUCAGUAGCUGGUCUGAGAGGAUGAUCAGCCUCACUGGGACUGAGACACGGCCCAGACUCCUACGGGAGGCAGCAGUGGGGAAUAUUGGACAAUGGGCGCAAGCCUGAUCCAGCCAUGCCGCGUGGGUAAUGAAGGCCCUAGGGUUGUAAAGCCCCUUCGGCGGGGAAGAUAAUGACGGUACCCGCAGAAGAAGCCCCGGCUAACUUCGUGCCAGCCGCCGCGGUAAUAC